rnacentral:rRNA from 1 species
UACGUAGGUGGCAAGCGUUGUCCGGAUUUAUUGGGUUUAAAGGGCGCGUAGGCGGUCCUAUAAGUCAGUGCUGAAAUAUCCCGGCUUAACCGGGAGGGUGGCAUUGAUACUGCAGGACUUGAGUAAAGUUGAGGUUGGCGGAAUUGACGGUGUAGCGGUGAAAUGCUUAGAUAUCGUCAAGAACACCUAUUGCGAAGGCAGCUAACUAAGCUUUAACUGACGCUGAGGCACGAAAGUGUGGGGAUCAAACAGG